rnacentral:antisense_RNA from 1 species
CUCCAUGGCGGGCUGUGCGGGCAGUCUUCGGACUGGCCGGUUUUCCUAUUUCUCCGGUAUUCCUACCCCGCACAGUCCGCCGCCCUU